rnacentral:ncRNA from 1 species
UUUAAUGCAAUGAUAAGGAUUUAGUAGUAUACCAAAAGUAUUAUAGAGAGUAAGUGUUGGUGUAAACUUAUAUAUAAGUAAGUAUAUGAAUUCGCCCUUUAGCAUUAUGGGUAAGCCCGUUAUAGCUUUAAGUGUAUAACAUACGUUAUAAAAGAAGGUGGUACCGCGGAUUAAUAAUUCGUCCUUUUG